AGCUCUCAAAAUGCAUAGAUACAUUGCUGCGGUUAAAAAGCUCGUAGUUGGAUCUGUGUCCGUGGUGGCGGGGUCCACUCUUCGGAGUGCGUACUCUUGUCGCCGUGGCUUUAGUGCCGGCUUCGCUUGUCGUAGUCUUAAGUGAUUGCGUGCAUGUGGGCUGGCGAGUUUACUUUGAACAAAUCAGAGUGCUCCAAACAGGCGUUUACGCUUGAAUGUUCGUGCAUGGAAUAAUAGAAGAGGAUUUCGGUUCUUGUUUUGUUGGUUUUGAUGGAUCGAAAUAAUGGUUAAUAGAGACAAACGGGGGCAUUCGUACUUCUGCGUGAGAGGUGAAAUUCUUGGACCGCAGAAAGACGCACUACAGCGAAAGCAUUUGCCAAGAAUGUCUUCA
rnacentral:rRNA from 1 species